rnacentral:misc_RNA from 1 species
GAUGAAGAACGUAGCGAAAUGCGAUACUUGGUGUGAAUUGCAGAAUCCCGUGAACCAUCGAGUCUUUGAACGCAAGUUGCGCCCGAAGCCAUCAGGUUGAGGGCACGUCUGCCUGGGCGUCACAUAUCGUUGCCCAAUGCCUAUUGCAGUGCAAUAGGAAUUUCUAGGGCGAAUGAUGGCUUCCCGUGAGCGUUGUUGCCUCGCGGUUGGUUGAAAAUCGAGUCCUUGGUAGGGUGUGCCAUGGUAGAUGGUGGUCGAGUUAGAACGAUACCGAUCAUGUGCAUGCUCCCCAAAAUAUGGCCUCUAUGACCCACACGCGUCUUUCGACGCUCAUGACGAGACCUCAGGUCAGGCGGGGCUACCCGCUGAAUUUAAGCGUAUCAAUAAGCGGAGGA